UUAGCAAAGCCACCUGCAGGAUCCACCUGCCACACCCAAGUCUAGACAGUUGCUGCUGGAAGCCUUCUGGUGGAAUCCACAGGGGGAGGCCAUUGAGCACAGGGCAUGGGCCUAGCAGCUCAGCAAGGAAAGACAGGGUCUCUUCCUACAUCUUUAAUGCAGCCAAGGACCCUACCAUCAAUGCCGCUCCAUCACAGAGAUUUCCAGAUGGGAUCAGGUGGCAGUCAGGAAGAAGUGGAUUCAGCAGUGUGGGCUUGAAUGGUAACUACAGAGGAUCAGAAGGGAAAGGAGGAAGGCGAUGAAGAAUGGGCCUUCAGUGCUUCAGAAGAAGGGAGGAGAAAAGCAUACAUUCUCAGGAGCCAGGUUAUGAAUGAAGAGAUCACUCCUUCCUGAAAUUGGCAGGCAACCAAAGGAAGUUCUGAAGUAGAAGACUCAUACAAUAAAGUUAGUCCAUCACAGCUGAUGGAGAUUUCUGUGGUGUAAUGUAGCCAUUUACUCUCUGUGGACUCCCAGAUGGUACGGGUAAUUUUACCUUAGAGGAGUUGAGAGCAUCAUAAAUAAAUUCGACUCAAAUGUCUUGAUCUAAAGCUUUUUCUCCUCCUUAUUAUGGAAGACAUCAAUGAA